CCCGGGUCUCCAGGAUAGUGCCCUAGGCCGAAGGCAGGCACCAAACCGCUGCGCCACCCAGGGAUCCCGAUGCUGGCAGUUUUAAACUCAGACCCAAGCCUUGGGGAUUCAGGGAGUAGCGAGAGGCCAGCAGCUUCUUUUCCUAGGUGUACAGUCUGAGAGAUGGGGAGAGAGGGAGACAGAAGGCGCAACAAAGGCAAGUCCAAUAUAAUCGACGUAGCCGAACCGCGUCAUAGGGUGGUGGAUAUGAGCGUGGGGCAAAUGGGUGCUUGGUAACAGAGCCAUUGAUUCCCAAAUGUGGGCCAAGUACUCCUUUGCACGUGCAGUGCCUUCUGCUUUUCUGAAAUGUUCCCUGUGAAUCCUCAAGACAACUCUGGGAGGAACCGGCGGUUGGCCCAUACUACAGAGGAGGUGACUGAGAGCAGGCUCCAGACUCACAGAACUGGUGGAAAGAACCCAUCACUGUCUGGCUCUCGGCAUAUUUUGCAAGCUAAGGUGGCUGGGGCAGCUCUACGUUUCUUCAUCUAGUGCCUCCUUGUCCUGGCUUGGCUGGGAGUAGUUUUCAGGUGUUGGCUGAACAAACAUCUGAACGAAUGUACGCAUCGAUCCUGGGAUAGAAGCCUGGCCCAUGCUGUCACGCUAAGACCUCUUCCACCAAGCUUCACUGUGUCCAUACUCCUGGGAACACUGCAUUUUCCCUGAUUGGGCUGUGAAGAGAACAGAGCAGAGAAAAAGUAGAUAUCUUUCUGCUACAGAGUGAAUGUUUGUGUCUUCAGAUCCAUGCUGAAAUCUGAUUCCCAAUUUGAUGUUAUUUGGAGGCGGGAGUCUCUAGGAGGUGAUUAGGUCACAAGGAUGGAGCUUUCAUGAAAUGAGAUGAGUGCCCUUAUAAAAGAGAUUCCAGAGCGCUCCCUCACUCCUUCUGUCUUCAUUGAGGACACAGUGAAAAGGCUGCUGUUUAUAAGCUAGGAUGUGGGCUCUCACCAGACUCCAAAUCAACACCUUGGUCUUGGAAUUCCUGGCUCCCAGAAUGAGUCUAGAGAAACUUGCAGAGAGAUAUUAAAAGGUAGAGGUUACCUGUCCUUGAACAGCUUCGCUAAAUGAGACUGGGUGCAUUUCCUCAUCUAGCCACCAGGUGGCAGCCAGCUUGUCGCCGCUGCCAGCGCAUCCUCACUCUCCUGCUCCUGGGGGAACAAUUGCUGUUUGAUCAUCCCCAGUGCUACCUAGGGCCCAACUGCCAGCUGGCAAAUAGAGCCUGGACUUUGGGACUCGUGGGUCUGGAUUGGACUUUGGUUCUGCUACUGGAUACUUGAGUGACCUUGGUCAGACCAGUAAACUUCGGGAAGCCUCAGUUUUCUCUUCUGUAAGAUGGGAACUAGAAGGGUUACUGAGGAUUCUAUGGGAUGGCUUAUGAGGAGAGCUUGGCACAUAGUAGCUGUGCACUAAAAGGUACCCUGCUGGGUCCCAGUCUUCUAGAAAGAACAUGCCCCAGGCACACAGGUGAGCCCCUUCUGGAUCCUCCAUGGAAAGGGGAGUCAGCUGGUGGUGGUGCUGUGCUGGAGCUGCAGAGCCAAAGAUGUGUACACAGCCCAUUCAUCUGCCUUCUGCUGCUUGAGCCCCCACAGAUGCGGAAGGUGCAGGGAAUGAUUCAGCUCCAGCUUUUAUUCUUGGUUGUCUUGUCAUUUUUCCCCUAAUGACUGGUGUGGUCGGAGCCUCAGCUGGAGUUAUGCUGACCUAGUUUUCAAUUCUGACUGUGCCCAAACAAGCUGUGUAACCUUGGACAAGUAACUUAACCUCUCUGUCCUAUCUCCUUCAUCUGCGAAACAGGAAAAUUAGCAUAUCUUUCUCACAAGGUUCUUUGGAGAGCUUUCAAAAUCUAAUUUUCAUUAUGAAACAUUUCAAACAUGGAGAAUAAUACAAAUAAAAACAUGAGGAAUAAAACAAUUUUGAAGUCCCAUGUGCGCAAUGAUCUUUGACCUCUGGCCACUCGUUUCAUUAAUUCUUUCACCAUACUACUGCCUUCCCACUGGAUUAUUUUGAAGCAAAUACCCGUCAUCACAGCAGUUUAUUUGUAGUGUAUAUUGCAAUAUAUAUCUGUAAAAGAUAAGCAUUCUUUUUUAAAACAUAAUUUUAGAGAGGUUUUAUGGAGCCUUUUCUCUAUGGCCAGGAUUUUCUGUAAAA